ACGGGUGAGUAAUGCCUAGGAAUCUGCCUGAUAGUGGGGGAUAACGUUCGGAAACGGACGCUAAUACCGCAUACGUCCUACGGGAGAAAGCAGGGGACCUUCGGGCCUUGCGCUAUCAGAUGAGCCUAGGUCGGAUUAGCUAGUUGGUGAGGUAAUGGCUCACCAAGGCGACGAUCCGUAACUGGUCUGAGAGGAUGAUCAGUCACACUGGAACUGAGACACGGUCCAGACUCCUACGGGAGGCAGCAGUGGGGAAUAUUGGACAAUGGGCGAAAGCCUGAUCCAGCCAUGCCGCGUGUGUGAAGAAGGUCUUCGGAUUGUAAAGCACUUUAAGUUGGGAGGAAGGGCAUUAACCUAAUACGUUAGUGUUUUGACGUUACCGACAGAAUAAGCACCGGCUAACUCUGUGCCAGCAGCCGCGGUAAUACAGAGGGUGCAAGCGUUAAUCGGAAUUACUGGGCGUAAAGCGCGCGUAGGUGGUUUGUUAAGUUGGAUGUGAAAUCCCCGGGCUCAACCUGGGAACUGCAUUCAAAACUGACUGACUAGAGUAUGGUAGAGGGUGGUGGAAUUUCCUGUGUAGCGGUGA
rnacentral:rRNA from 1 species